UGUAUAGCUCAGUUGGCCAAGCACGGCUCUCUUAAUCUCAAGGUCAUGGGUUCAAGCCCCAUGUCGGGCAAAA